AGAUGAAGAAACUGAGGCGCAGAGAGGUCAGGUUCCUUGGGACAAUACUGUGAGAUGCCCCCAUCCGAUCCUCCUGUUGAAGCCUGUAUUGAACAGUCACCCACAGUCCUGGAAGAGGGUCAACAUGAUAGCCACAAAUGGAAGGGCAGCAGGGAAGAAAGGAAAGAGGAAAAGGAAGAAAGCUUGUUUUCCUUAUAGGCUCCAUGAAGUCAACAGGAAAUGGCUCAGUGUAGAUCAACCAACCACCUUACUGUCCUGAGUAAAAGGCAAGACUGAUAUCUUUCUGAGUGACUGAAGAGUUAAUCACGACUUAGGUUUCGGAGGCAUGCAUGCAGAACUGGAAGUGAGGGAAGAAGAGGAAAGCCAUCAGCCUAGUCUCAGCAGUCGUCUAUAAUAUAACAAUCAGC
ensembl:lncRNA